AACGCGAAGAACCUUACCUGGCCUUGACAUGCAAGUAGUAGAAGCCUGAAAGGGUGACGAUCCCGCAAGGGAAGCUUGCACAGGUGCUGCAUGGCUGUCGUCAGCUCGUGUCGUGAGAUGUUGGGUUAAGUCCCGCAACGAGCGCAACCCUCGCCCUUAGUUGCCAUCAUUAAGUUGGGCUCUCUAAGGGGACUGCCGGUGAUAAGCCGCGAGGAAGGUGGGGAUGACGUCAAGUCCUCAUGGCCCUUACGGGCUGGGCUACACACGUGCUACAAUGGCGGUGACAAUGGGACGCAAUGGGGCAACCCUGCGCAAAUCUCAAAAAGCCGUCUCAGUUCGGAUUGUGCUCUGCAACUCGAGCACAUGAAGUUGGAAUCGCUAGUAAUCGUGGAUCAGCACGCCACGGUGAAUACGUUCCCGGGCCUUGUACACACCGCUAGUC
rnacentral:rRNA from 1 species